rnacentral:tRNA from 1 species
GCGAAGGUGGCGGAAUUGGUAGACGCGCUAGCUUCAGGUGUUAGUGUUCUUACGGACGUGGGGGUUCAAGUCCCCCCC